GAUGAACGCUAGCUACAGGCUUAACACAUGCAAGUCGAGGGGAAACGACAGUAAAGCUUGCUUUUGGUGGGCGUCGACCGGCGCGACGGGUGAGUAACGCGUAUCCAACCUGCCCACCACUUGGGGAUAACCUUGCGAAAGUAAGACUAAUACCCAAUGAUAUCCCACGAAGGCAUCCGAAUGGGAUUAAAGAUUUAUCGGUGAUGGAUGGGGAUGCGUCUGAUUAGCUUGUUGGCGGGGUAACGGCCCGCCAAGGCUACGAUCAGUAGGGGUUCUGAGAGGAAGGUCCCCCACAUUGGAACUGAGACAUGGUCCAAACUCCUACGGGAGGCAGCAGUGAGGAAUAUUGGUCAAUGGGCGAGAGCCUGAACCAGCCAAGUAGCGUGCAGGAAGACGGCCCUAUGGGUUGUAAACUGCUUUUAUAGGGGAAUAAAGUGAGCCACGUGUGGUUUUUUGCAUGUACCCUAUGAAUAAGGACCGGCUAAUUCCGUG
rnacentral:rRNA from 1 species